UGGGGGAUAUUGCACAAUGGGCGAAAGCCUGAUGCAGCGACGCCGCGUGGGGGAUGAAGGCCUUCGGGUUGUAAACUUCUUUUGCUCUGAACAAGGCGCACCAUGGGGUGUGUUGAGUGUAGGGGUUGAUUAGCGCCGGCUAACUACGUGCCAGCAGCCGCGGUAAUACGUAGGGCGCGUGCUUUGUCCAGAAUUAUUGGGCGUAAAGGGCUUGUAGGUGGCUGGUUGCGUCUGUCGUGAAAGCUCAUGGCUUAACUGUGGGUUUGCGGUGGGUACGGGCUGGCUUGAGUGCAGUAGGGGAGGGUGGAAUUCCUGGUGUAGCGGUGGAAUGCGAAGCUAUGAGGAGGAAUACCGGUGGCGAAGGCAGGUCUCUGGGCUGUUACUGACACUGAGGAGCGAAAGCAUGGGGAGCGAACAGG
rnacentral:rRNA from 1 species